UCAGGGCCGUAACUAGGGAUCGAUUUCAGGGGAGGCAGGGGUUUGGGACCGCCGAUUAAGGCCCCUAGAGAGGGGGGGUUUUGGGGUGCAGCCUCCCGCCGAUUUUUUCCCCUCAGUAAAAUGGCUUAAAAUGACCCGUUUUCCUUCGAUUUCGUUACUUUAAGACUCAUCAGUAUUGCUUGAACCUGGAAGCAAUUUUUUUGCAAAAACAAACUGAGAUUGCUGUUCGGGGUGAGCCAAGGCUCCGUCUUGAAGGUCGUACUUUUAACUAUAAUUAUUAACAUUAAAUACAUUGUGACCGCCGAUUUUUUUUAUCUCAAUGAAAUGGCGAAAAAAAAAAACACCUGUUUUCCUUCGAUUUCCUUACUUUACGACUCAUCAGUAAUGCUUGAACCUCGGGAGCAAUUUGUUUUGC
rnacentral:lncRNA from 1 species